GGCUCUUAUAGUGCAACCAUGGCAGACUAUUCAACAGUGCCUCCCCCCUCUUCUGGCUCAGCUGGUGGCGGUGGUGGCGGCGGUGGUGGUGGAGGAGUUAACGACGCUUUCAAAGAUGCACUGCAGAGAGCCCGGCAGAUUGCAGCAAAAAUUGGAGGUGAUGCAGGGACAUCACUGAAUUCAAAUGACUAUGGUUAUGGGGGACAAAAAAGACCUUUAGAAGAUGGAGAUCAACCAGAUGCUAAGAAAGUUGCUCCUCAAAAUGACUCUUUUGGAACACAGUUACCACCGAUGCAUCAGCAGCAAAGAUCUGUAAUGACAGAAGAAUACAAAGUUCCAGAUGGAAUGGUUGGAUUCAUAAUUGGCAGAGGAGGUGAACAGAUCUCACGCAUACAACAGGAAUCUGGAUGCAAAAUACAGAUAGCUCCUGACAGUGGUGGCCUUCCAGAAAGGUCCUGUAUGUUAACUGGAACACCUGAAUCUGUCCAGUCAGCAAAACGGUUACUGGACCAGAUUGUUGAAAAAGGAAGACCAGCUCCUGGCUUCCAUCAUGGCGAUGGACCGGGAAAUGCAGUUCAAGAAAUCAUGAUUCCAGCUAGCAAGGCAGGAUUAGUCAUUGGAAAAGGGGGAGAAACUAUUAAACAGCUUCAGGAACGGGCUGGAGUUAAAAUGGUUAUGAUUCAAGACGGGCCGCAGAACACUGGUGCUGACAAACCUCUUAGGAUUACAGGAGACCCAUAUAAAGUUCAACAAGCCAAGGAAAUGGUGUUAGAGUUAAUUCGUGAUCAAGGCGGUUUCAGAGAAGUUCGGAAUGAGUAUGGGUCAAGAAUAGGAGGAAAUGAAGGGAUAGAUGUCCCCAUUCCAAGAUUUGCUGUUGGCAUUGUAAUAGGAAGAAAUGGAGAGAUGAUCAAAAAAAUACAAAAUGAUGCUGGUGUUCGCAUUCAGUUUAAGCCAGAUGAUGGGACAACACCCGAAAGGAUAGCACAAAUAACAGGACCUCCAGACCGAUGUCAACAUGCUGCAGAAAUUAUUACAGACCUUCUUCGAAGUGUUCAGGCUGGUAAUCCUGGUGGACCUGGACCUGGUGGUCGAGGAAGAGGUAGAGGUCAAGGCAACUGGAACAUGGGACCACCUGGUGGACUACAGGAAUUUAAUUUUAUUGUGCCAACUGGGAAAACUGGAUUAAUAAUAGGAAAAGGAGGUGAAACCAUAAAAAGCAUAAGCCAGCAGUCUGGUGCAAGAAUAGAACUUCAGAGAAAUCCUCCACCAAAUGCAGAUCCUAAUAUGAAGUUAUUUACAAUUCGUGGCACUCCACAACAGAUAGACUAUGCUCGGCAACUCAUAGAAGAAAAGAUUGGUGGCCCAGUAAAUCCUUUAGGGCCACCUGUACCCCAUGGGCCCCAUGGUGUCCCAGGCCCCCAUGGACCUCCUGGGCCUCCAGGGCCUGGAACUCCAAUGGGACCAUACAACCCUGCACCUUAUAAUCCUGGACCACCAGGCCCGGCUCCUCAUGGUCCUCCAGCCCCAUAUGCUCCCCAGGGAUGGGGAAAUGCAUAUCCACACUGGCAGCAGCAGGCUCCUCCUGAUCCAGCUAAGGCAGGAACGGAUCCAAAUUCAGCAGCUUGGGCUGCUUAUUACGCUCACUAUUAUCAACAGCAAGCACAGCCACCACCAGCAGCCCCUGCAGGUGCACCAACUACAACUCAAACUAAUGGACAAGGAGAUCAGCAGAAUCCAGCCCCAGCUGGACAGGUUGAUUAUACCAAGGCUUGGGAAGAGUACUACAAGAAAAUGGGUCAGGCAGUUCCUGCUCCGACUGGGGCUCCUCCAGGUGGUCAGCCAGAUUAUAGUGCAGCCUGGGCUGAGUAUUAUAGACAACAAGCAGCCUAUUAUGCCCAGACAAGUCCCCAGGGAAUGCCACAGCAUCCUCCAGCACCUCAGGGCCAAUAAUAAGAAGUGGACAAUACAGUAUUUGCUUCAUUGUGUGGGGGAAAAAAACCUUUGUUAAAUAUAUGGAUGCAGACGACUUGAUGAAGAUCUUAAUUUUGUUUUUGGUUUAAAAUAGUGUUUCCUUUUUUUUUUUUUUUUUUGAAAAUGUAC
rnacentral:lncRNA from 1 species